rnacentral:lncRNA from 1 species
GUUGUCGUGGAGAGGGUGGUUGUCGGCGUAGGAGAGGUCACCCACGAACAGCACGGCGUCGCCGCCGUUGGACUCGUAGUGGGACAGCGUGCGGUUCGAGUCGAACGUCUGCCCAAGGUCCCCUGCAUUGCAGUCAUUCAGUUUUCAGAGCAUUGUCAGUCGUCAGGCUAGAGCUGCAGUACAGUACCAGCAGAGACUAGAGAGUCAGUAGCCGUUGGGGAUUGAAUGGAUUCAUUGAAUUGGGAGGGCCAAAUUCGACCACAUUUUUGUUUCAAGUAGAGUGGAAAUGAGGAUUCAGAAUUCCUGGUCAACACAACACGGCUAGCUAGCCUUGAUUGAGUGACUGAUUGCGCUUGGCAGGACUCAGACUUUUGUGCGCAAGUUGACCGUGCAGAUGGCAACAGUCAGCAUGGCACUGCCACUACAGACUACUAAUGACAGAGAAAAUCGAAUUCGAAUGUAUCCAUGUUAGUACCGCGUUAAAUUCAUAUAUGAAUACGGAUAUCCAUAUUUGUCGUUUUAACAUAUAGGGAUUCGGAUAUCUAUUUCCACAUUUUCAUCCUGACGGCCAGUACAGACUACUACAGAGCAGCUGCUAAGAGACCGCUGUACAUAAAAAUCAGCAUGGGGAUUGGGUCAUGAUUAGUAUAAUCUCCAGGGUUAAAUAAAACUAUUGGCCAUGAAGCAUUGGAUGCUAGUAGUAUGCUACGAUCGCAAUCUCGUCGUAUCCAGUUUCUUAUUUUUUCUUUUCUUGUGAGGAACCUCGAUUAUUUCGAACUGAUUGGUCACGUGUUUGGCACGUUGCAGAGUGCUUCCAGAUGGAGACGAAAAGGGUUGGGUGGAGGAGCACACAAUUCAACGGAGAGGACGGACAGGGGAGGAGGGAUCCAUCUCGUGGCUUACCUAUGAGGCCGAACUUGUAGGGCGCAUCAGGCCCCGGCUUGGGAGGCGUGGUGAACCAGAAGGUCCUCACCGUGUGCCCGAACCCCAUGGCGUAGUAGUACUUGCUGCUAUGCUGCGAGUUAAUGGGGAAGAAGAAGAAGAAGAAGAACAGAGCAGCCAUUGUUAGCUGAUUGCUCACCUGCAAGGUUGCAAUGCAUAACAAGAAGACGACAUAAGAAGGGCAGAGCAACCAACCUUGAGGUUCUUGAGGGUGCAGUGAUGGAUGAAUCCGGAGGUGUAGUUGAAGUAGUCGUAGCGCGUGUGCGUUCCCUCCGCCCGGAGCUCCAGCUUGUGCGGCGCGCCGCCGUACAUCACCGUGCUGCUGCCCAGCUCGCUGGGCGUCACCCACGACACGAUCAUCGCCGUCCCCUCCUGGUUGCCCAGCGUGAUGUGCACCUGCAAAACCGUAUAUCCGAUCCCAAGAUUGAAUCUUUUUUUUUCACCCCGAGAAUGAUCAACGAUGGAGAGGCAAGAUUCCCAAGAAGAAAGCAGAGGAGAUUGGCGGCUACUCCUACCUGCUGCGGCGCAUUGUAUCCCGGCGGCACGCGGAAGACGUCGGCGUCCAGCGGCAUCUCCACCGUCGCUUCCAGCUUCCGCCGGUACUCGCUCGUCACCCCGGCGUCGGCGGCGAGGACCACCAGGGCCAGGGCCGCCACCAGGGCCAGCCGCCGGCGACCGCCCGACGACAUGCUGCUCUGCUCUCCGGCUGCUUCCCCUGUUCUGUUCUCCCCACAACAACUUGGGACUCGAGAAACAGGGCACAAGGAAGAAAGAGUCUGCAAUGCAAUGGAGACGCAGGCUGGCCUCGAGGCCGUUUAAAUAGAUCCCUCGAGUCCAGUCUGCAGCACAAUUUCCGGGGAAUAUCCCAUGGGUUGUGCUCAGGCGCGCAAUUAGACUUGGAUUAGAGAUUGCAUUUGAUUAAGGUGUUCCAAGUUGACUCUGGAGCUAGUAGAUUAUCAAGGGUAUCAUUCAUCUUCAUACAAGCGCAUCGCCGUCGUGCCGUGUGGGCGCGUCCACAGCGAAAGGCAGCCGUAAUUUGACCCAUCUUAACGACUACAACGAUGGCGAUGCAGGACGACACCAUCACCGUAUAUACCAGUCAAGCAAACUCUGCACUGCAUCAUUUUGAAAGUUCUUUUGUGAUAAAACAUUGUAGCUUGGAAAACGAGCACAUACUCCUCUUUCACAUCCUGAACCACUUUGGCCGCUAGGCUAGCCGAAAACAGUCAGCUACGGACUAUAGCAUACUAUAGGCCUCAGAAGGACCAGUGGGCAUGGACAGAAGGGAAUCACAAGUUGUGCUUGUGCCCUUGGCAAAAGCAUGGUAGCAUAAAGGCCCGUGCUUUUCCUACAUGGACAAAUGAGGAUCACAAGAGAGAGGAUGUGCUCGUACUAGAUGCAUCAUGCAUGCUAGGUGCACGAAUUGUGGCCGUGUUCUUGCGCAAUCCCAAAAGGCAAAGCCUUUCCGAGAUUAGGAUUUAGGACUCAUCAUUUAGAGGUUGACUUAUAGCAAGUAUAGUAAGCCUUAAAAAUGCAUGUCUAACAUUCCUACUUUUGAUCCUGGUAAAAAAAAUGCACUUUUGUUACUUUAAUUUCUCUUAUUAGUAUGUUCUUUCAGGAGUGCAGUGCUGCAUCUAAAAAUGAAGUUCUACCAAGACACACGAUAUAAUAAGCAAAUCAACCUCGAGGACAAUGUGGCGUGAGUGAAAUGAAUGAACAUUAUCAAAUUAUGAACUAAUUAGACCUAAUAAAUUCGUUAUGGAAGUUCUUGUCCUGCUUGACGGGGCAUCGUGAGGCUCUCUUUCACAUGAUGAAUGAGGCAACAACCUCUGUGAGACGUCACAAACAGGCUUCAAUAAUUUGAUUCAUCAUCCACCCAAUUGAUAAGAGUCUCGAGUCUGACUUAUGCGACCAAGACCAACCAUUUUCGGCUACGCCUACGCUGAUAGCAAAGCAUAUUCGCAUCCCAUCUCGUGCUGAUGUCAUGACGCCAUAUAGACUAGAGCGCAACCACUGACCGAGAGUAAAAUUAAUGAAUGUUUUCAAGGAUGAAUGAACCGAAUCUGUAAUUCAUAGCUUUUCACUAAUUCAUUUUCUCUGAAAUGAAAUGAAAAUGAUUUUUUUUCUUCUUCUCCAGACAAACAGCAAGAGAUUCUGAGGGUCGCAGCAUCGCCAUCAAAUAAGCAUCUUGAAAGUGGAGUUGCAGCAAUUUCCUUGGCUGAAAAAAAAGGUAAAAGGAGCACCGGCCGUUCGGUCAAGCUAGUUCUUUCUUGUGCAAACGAGCAAGCAAAGCAGAAAAGAAGGAUUUUUGUGAUGGGGCCAUGCAUAUCUUUGUUCCCUUUUCCUCUACCUUUCUCUGUUGAAUUCCACUUGGCAAUGAUGGGAAAGAAGAUCUGGGGUUGAGUUGAGUUGAGUUGAGGGAUAUAAAGCUUGAAUCCGCAUCCUAUCCAAUCAAAGUAGUUUUUGCUAUUUCUUUUCUUUUCCUCUUCUUUUCAAGGACCGAAAAUCAGUUGGUACUGAGGAACUGACUGAUUGUAGAGGUUGUGACUUGAGAGCACUGCAAGCAUCAUUUGAUAACUGGUAAGGUUACAGGUUAGCUGCAUAAUGUUACUGUCUUACUAACUGUCCAGGUCACAAAACUGUCACAACUCUUGAUUUGAUCUGACGAGCAAGCUUCUGAAUCGCCCAACUUGCACCAGCCCAUUGCAGCAUUCCAUGCCUGUCUACUUUCUAUAACUAAAGCUCGGUCUUUCAAUUUUUUUUGAAACGACCUCGGUCUUUCAAUUCGUAGCUGCUGCAUAGCUUGUGGUUACUGAAAUACAUUUUCAGUAGUAAGGAUCCACUCUGGAAAACUAACAUCAUAGUUUAUUGGUCACAUGAUAUAAAGUUCAGUCUGUUCAUUGAACGCUUGCACCAAAAUACGAAACUGCACCCUUAAACAACUUGAGACAUUUGGUUUAGACCACACUUAAAACACAUGGAUUUCACUAGCUUUGCACAUAAUAAAUCAUAUUCGCCCGUGUUUCGAAGAAGACAUUUACUACUCCAUUGCAAGCGUCGGAUCAGUAGUGACACAAGCAUAACAUAAUAGUAGCUCCGAACACCAAAACAACCCUACAUAAUAUCAGGCUCAGCCAGCAAGGAAACAUACACCAUAACCAUAGCAGUUUCCCAGCAAACACUGCUGCAUUGCACGAAUGCCAAAAAUUUAGUGUCUUUCUGAUAGGUCAUCGUCCCGGUCACAAAACUCUUCCCAGCAUCAGCAGCAAUUACACCUCUUAUUUUGCUUUGACAACAAACCCCCCUCACUUCCUCAGUACUCCAACAUCCGCAUCUUGCACAAGGGCUCCUACCUCACCUGCACCAAACAAAACACAAAAGGAUUAAUUCUUCCUGACAAGGGUGAUCAGCAAUCAUGUGGUUUUUUCUUAACUGAUUGCCAUAAACCGGGACACAAGAAGGAAAUACAUGUGAUGGUUCAGUUCCAGCUGCUAAAUGUGAUGUUCGACGAUCCACUCCAGUGGAGCCAACCAUGUCUCUUUUAUUGCUACCGGCAAAAAUCAUAUACUACUAUUCUUCCAAUAUUUUGACUACAACCAUAUACUAGCUAACAAAACAAAGAAUUUGCACUCAGGUGGUGCCCACACCACACCUCCCGAACGAACUUGCUCAUGCCUAGGAAGAUGAUCCUAAAAACUGGUCUUUGUAGCCAGGCUUGUCAGCCCAGGGUAUUUACUACCUAGUGAAACAGUUAGUUUUGGCCGGUAUCUAGUAAUAACAAUAGCAAAAAAAAAAAACCCAGACAAAACACUUUAUCUUAAUACCCCAAGGCGUGUGCUGCUUCCCUGCAUUGAACAUCAAACAUCAUGUUCUGUAGCAAGAGUUAAAUCGUGCUAAAACCCAUACAAUUACCUAUCAGCAAUGUCAUGUAAGUUCUAUGACCUGUAGCCAACCACAUGAUCAUAAUAAGAGCCACCACAUGCAUAUAUACAUGACUAUAUAGCAAACAGAGUGGAAGAAAGAAUAAUUACCUGUAGCAUUGAUCAUGUAUUUGGAGAUCUCGGUGUGACGGUAGUAGUGCCUAAAAAAAAUCGUUUUUCCUGCUGUCGAGCUCAGCAAUGCCCUGCAGCUUCUUGUCCCUCGCACCAACAUCGAUCACCCAUCCCUUAUGGUCCUUGUAAUCCACCUUGGACAGCAAAUAAAUGACCAAAUCACCAUUCGCGUCAAGCUCCAAGGUGGGGUGAGCUGUGAGCAGCCUCCUCAAGCUCAUGGUCGCGCUUUCUGGAUCAGUGCUCAGCCGUGGCAGCCGCAGAAGCAGCUCAGAAUGGCUUGGGUUGUCAACAACGAUGUCAGUGACAUCAACCUUGCAAUCCUUGUCCUUGUGCCAAUCCUUCCAUGAAGCAACUGGAACUGGCAUGGUCCAGAUAGUGGCAUUCCAGUAUGGGUUGACGUCCAAGUCACACUCGGCGUCAUCAUCAGAGCCGGAGUCGUCGGAGGUGUACUGCCGAGAUGGUGGCAGAUCCUCCCCAGGUCGAGUUUCCAUCUCGACGUACUUGAUUUCGGAUCGGUGCUGCUGCCCUGGCAGUGUGACGACAGCGAUCUCCCCGUAACUGUGCGGGCAUCCUCAACGGCUUGGGCAGCAGCACAUCACGGAGCAUGGGUUCCUCAUCGAGCACGUUGCAGUGCAGGAUGCCUCUCCAGAGAUCGACCCAGCCAAUGGUAGCCCUUGGUGGUCAGGUGGAAGGUGAGCUCGGUAGCCAUGCGGGGGAUGGGGGAUGGGUAGCACCUCGUCCCUCUCUGGCGCGUGGACGGAGAGCAGGGUGGAGGUCCAGCUGCCGGUGUCGGAGUCGUAGCGCUGGAGCUUGAACUCUUUUCGGUGGAUGGUGUUCCGGAGGCCGGCGAUGACGUAGCGGGAGGUGCUGCCGGAGCAGCGGAAGAUGGCGACCUCGUUGUCCUGGAACAUGGCGCCCUUGGGGUGCGAGUGCGGGAGGUGCCCGUGCCCGAGCGUGGGCGAGCCGUGUAGACAAAGUAGUCAUGGUUUUGGUGAUUCGGGAGUGGGACGCGGAGGAGAGCUAGGUCGGCGUGCGUGCUGAUGACUCGGGCCACCUUGAUGCACCGUACGGCAGGGGUGCCGGCGGUGGGCCCCAGACGGUUGUUGCCGUCACGGCCGGCAGCGAUGGCCGGAAUACGUAUACGAAUACGAAUACGAACUCACGUAUACAACUGGAACUCACGGAGCCUUUUUUUUUUUCUGCUAGAACGCGCUACUUUUCUUGACUCUGCAUUGCAAAUUAAUAGGAAAAACAAACUCUCACGAAUGUGGCCACUAACUCCACAAACGCGCACGCACGCCAUGCUUCCGGUCUUGUCGUGCCAUCCCACGACGGAGUCGCAUGCCGUGCAUCUCGGACUCUCAAACAGAAAAGAAACGACCUGAGCCACUGCAUGAACAGGAGCAUGCAUCAAGCUCCUACGGACGCGCUCAUACACGAGCCCAAGUUAUUGAAACUGAAAAACAGACUUGACACGACUUAACGAGCUGGAAUUACUAACAUUUCUCCCCCUAAAUCCAGUCUCGUUUACUUCAGUUCGACGAUGCCGAUCCGUUCGCGCAGCUCUUGAAACUUGACGCGCCCGAGCGACUUCGUCAGGAGGUCUGCAAGCUGAUCAUGGGUGCUUGCAUAGUCCAGCUUGAUCUUCCCGCUCUCCACACAUUCACGGAUGAAAUGGAAUUUUGUAUCAAUGUGUUUACUUCUAUCAUGGAGAACGGGAUUCUUACUGAGUGCAAUGGCGGACAUAUUGUCCAUCUUCAAGCUCGGCGGCGAUAACUCUGUUCCGGUCAUCUCCCUCACCAGCCGCGCGAGCCACACCGCUUGACACGCCGCCGCCGCGCCUGCGAUGUAUUCAGCUUCACAGGAGGAGAGUGCCACUACCUUUUGCUUCUGGGAUUGCCAUUAUAUUGGCAUGCCGUCGAGGAACAAGAUGAGGCCGGUGGUGCUUUUCCUGUCAUCGACGUCUCCCCCCAAGUCGUUGUCACUGAAACCCACCCACCAGGAAGGGGUGCUCGUUCUCUUGCUCGGUGUAGACUAUCCCGUAGUCGAUGGUGCCGGAGAUGUACCGCAGGAGGUGUUUCACGGCCGCCAAAUGGUCUUGCUUGGGUUUCUCCAUGAACCUGCUGACGAGGCCGACGGCGAACGUGAUGUCAGGCCGGGUGUGCACCAAAUACCGCAGGCUCCCGAUCAAACUCCGGUACAUGGUGGUGUCCACCUCGGCCGCAGCGCUGUCCUUCCUGAGUUUCAAGCGCACCUCCAUUGGGGUCUGGCAAGGGUUGCAGCCCUCCAGACCAGCCUUCUCAAGCAGCUUGCGUGCAUAUGCUGCUUGGCUCAGCGUGAUGUGCCCCCUGCUUUGUUUCACCUCUAUCCCAAGAUAGUACGAGAGCAGCCCCAGAUCACUCAUGCGGAAUAGGCGCAUCAUCUCACCUUUGAAUGUCUUGACCUCCUCCGCGCAGGCUCCCGUGAUGAUGAGAUCAUCGACGUAGACGCUGACGAUCACCCGCGACGUCGCUGCACCUCGAGUGUACAGCCCGUGCUCGCUGACGCAUCUGGUGAAACCGAGAUCACGCAGGUUGCUGUCCAGCUUCUGAUUCCAUGCGCGCGGGGCCUGUUUGAGCCCGUACAGUGCCUUCUUCAACCUCAGCACCUUGCCUUCAUGUCCAGCGGCCACAAGCCAGGUGGCUGCCGCACGUAUACUUCCUCCUGUAGAUCGCCAUUUAGAAAAGCUAAUUUGACAUCCAUGUGAUGCACAAGCCAGCCUCCCCGUGCCGCCAUGGCGAGCACCAUUCUCACGGAUUCCAUUCUAGCCACCGGAGUAAAUACUUCCGCGUAGUCGAUCCCGGCCUGCUGAACGUAUCCCUUCGCGACCAGCCGGGCUUUGUGCUUGACGACGACACCCUGUUCAUUGCGCUUCAGCUUGAACACCCAUUUCAGGCCAAUUGGGCGGUGGCCUGGUGGGAGGUCUACGAGAAUCCAUGUAUUGUUCUACUCGAUCGAAGCCAUUUCCUCGAGCAUCGCCUUCCUCCAGUUCUCCUCACUGCGUGCCUCCUCAAAUGUUGUAGGCUCGUCCCCAACCGUGAGCAACAGCUCAGCGUCUAGGGCGCGCUCGGCCCAACCUGGAGGUGAUGAAGGUCCAAUGAUGUUGUCGAGGGUGCGGAACCGUAGAGGCGCGUCAUCGUCGUGCUCUGCGUCAAGGUCCAGCGCCUCGCUCGGCGGCGAGGCAAACUCCACUGCCUCCCCUGGUGGGUCGAGUGGCGCCGCCGUAGUGGGCGCGUGCGACUCCUGGCCACCUGCCGGUGUCGUAGGUGUUCGUGGUGAUGCAGGUGCUGGUGGCAUCGGGAAAACUGGUGAUGUAGGCUCCGGCGUCGCUUCGCCGGAUCCAUGCUCCCCCGAAAUGCCUGAGCCCGUGGACACUGUCACGUACUCAACAUGGAACGGCUCGAUGUCGACGGCGUCGGGGACCUCCUGCCCUUUGUUCCAGCUCCAUGUGCGCCCUUCAUCAAACACGACGUCGCGCGAGACAACGACCCGCUCGCUGUUCGGGUUGAAGAACCUGUAUGCCUUGGAUCCUGGCUCGUACCCGAUGAACACCAUCGGCGUACUGCGAUCGUCCAACUUGCUCUGGUGGCCGGCGGCAUUCUUGACAUGCGCCACACAUCCAAAUACAUGAAAGAAAUGCACAGGCGGCUUAUAUCCAUACCAAGCUUCGAACGGUGUCAUCCCCUCCACGCUUCUCGUCGGUGACCGAUUGAGGAUGAACACGGCCGUGGUGACCGCCUUGCCCCAGAAGUAGCCGGGAACACUCAUUGCCUUGAGCAUGCUCCUCGCCAUGCCAAGCACGGUCUGGUUUCGCCGCUCAACCACUCCGUUCUGCUGAGGUGUGUAGGGAGCGGUGAGGUGGCGCUGGAUCCCUUGCUCGGAGCAGUAGUUGCCGAACGUCCGCGCCGUGGACUCCCCACCGUGAUCAGUGCACAGGGUGCCCAGCUUGCACCCCGCCUCCGCCUCCUCUCGCGCUUGCAGACGGAUGAUUGCUGCUGCAGCUUCGUCCUUGGAUUGCAACAGCGUGAGCCACAUGAAACGGCUCUUGUCGUCGACGACGAGCAGGAACAAUCGCUUCCCUCCUUGUGUUUGUGGCAUGAUCGGGCCGCAGAGGUCCGCGUGGACCAACUCGAGGCAGUGCGCGGCACGGAACUUGCUUGCCGCUGGGAACGGAUGUCGAUGCUGCUUCCCCGCCAGGCAGCCGUCGCACACCUGAUUAGUGUGCUCGAUUUUCGGCAGCCCGCGCACCAUCUCCUUCCUUGCCAUCUCCUUUAGCCCCUGGAAGCCGAGGUGACCGUACCUUGCAUGCCACUGCCAUGCCGUCUCGCUGCUCCUCGCCGCAAGGCACACUGGCUCGUCAAUGUUGAGGUUGAGGACGUAGAGCCGGCUUGGAGAGCGAGGUACCUUCGCCAGGAGCCGUCGCCGGUGGUCCCAGAUGCGGAGGAAGCCACCCUCCAGGAGAAUCUUGUACCCAUCCUCCUCUAGCUGCCCGAGACUCACAAUAUUUGCAGUCAGUUUGGGGAUGUGGUACACUCCAGAGAGCAUCUGGUGCUCCCUGUUCUUGCACAUGAAGAGGAUGGUUCCGCACCCCUCGAUCCCGACCACGGAGCCGUCACCGAAGCGCACAGUCCCGCGGAUGCCUGUGUCGAUGUUGGCGAAGGCGGAGUGCACCGGUGUCAUGUGAUUCGUCGCGCCGGUGUCGAGGAUCCAUCGGGUGCAAUCCCCCUCACCGUUGCCGCCGAGUUGGACAAAGAGCUUGUCUUCCUCGAGGUGGAUCGGGGAGGAGUCCGCCGGUGUCGUGGUUCUGGAUGGAGUAGAGGAAGCCGCUGCGUUGACCAUCGCUGUCGCCACCAGCAAGGUGGGCUCGACCUCCUCCUCCACUUGGGUCACGUGGGCUGCAGCAUCACGUUUCUUCUUGCGGCAUUCACGAGCCCAGUGGCCCGUCUUCUUACAGUACCUGCACUGGUCGUCGGCGAUCUCCUCGCCACCGUUGCCUCCCGCCUUGGGUGGUCUGGAUCCUCCACGUGCACCGCCACGCCCGCGGUCGCGGCCCCGCCUUUGGCUUGAUGAUGAGCCUCUCGAAUGCCCCAAAGACCCCUCGCCGGAGAUCUUCAUCUUUGCCGCGAUGCGUGCGACUAGCUCAUCCUCCGUGAGGUUGAGCUUGGCGAUGGAGCCGGAUCCACCACCAAGAUCGUGACGCUCUUCCGCCGACUUGAGGCGCCCGAUCAGUUCUUCCACGGAGACCUUGCUGAGAUCGAGAAGGGUCUCGAUCGACAUCGCGAUUUGGCCGUACUUCGCCGGUAGCGCCUGCAGGAACUUGCGCACGAUCUCCUCCUCUGUACACCCGUCGUUGAGGACCGCGAGCUGGUGGACGAUUCUGUUGAUUCGAAUGCUGAAGUCAUCCACAGACUCGCCGUCACGGAACUUCAGGGCGUUGAACUCCCGCCGGAGCGUAUUCGCCUUCGCCUUGCGGACGCGCUCGACACCGAUGUACAUGGUUCUGAUCGCGUCCCACGCGAUCUUGGCCGUCGCCUUGCUUGCGAUGCCGCCCAUGAUCUCCGCCGAUACUGCCUUCGCGAUGACCUCGAGCGCCAUGCGAUCCUCGACGUAGUCCUCUGUCCCGAGGCUCACCGCGAUCCAGAGACCGCGCGCCUGCAGCAUCACGCGCAUGAGCGCCGCCCAGUCGUAGUAGUUCAUCUUGGUGAGUACUGGAAAGGUUCCGCCGCUGCUGAUCUCCUUCGUGACCCUGUGGAUCACGAGCCCGCGUUCGUGGUCGCCGCUCCCGGACGCUCCCCCGCCGUUGGCGCCGCGGCUCCCCGACGCGCCGGCACUGCUCCCGUGCCCGGGCGUCCCUCGCAGCGGCGAGGCUGAUCGUGGGCGCACCAUGAAAGCCCACUCGAUCGCCCGGUUGCGCUCCCAAGCCUUGUAACUGGCUCUGAUACCAAUUGUUGCCAUCACGGCCGGCAGCGAUGGCCGGAAUACGUAUAUGAAUACGAAUACGAACUCACGUAUACAACUGGAACUCACGGAGCCUUUUUUGUGCUGCUAGAACGCGCUACUUUUCUUGACUCUGUAUUGCAAAUUAAUAGGAAAAACAAACUCUCACGAAUGUGGCCACUAACUCCACAAACGUGCACGCACGCCAUGCUUCCGGUCUUGUCGUGCCAUCCCACGACGGAGUCGCAUGCCGUGCAUCUCGGACUCUCAAACAGAAAAGAAACGACCUGAGCCACUGCAUGAACAGGAGCAUGCAUCAAGCUCCUACGGACGCGCUCAUACACGAGCCCAAGUUAUUGAAACUGAAAAACAGACUUGACACGACUUAAAGAGCUGGAAUUACUAACAACGGUGCUAAUGUCGGGACUCAAGACGGGACCUGGGAAGUGGACGCAGAUGUAGGAGAGGCGCGGGGGGCGGGUGAGGCAGAAGGAGACUUGGAUUGGUGUGCCGGUGCUCAGUUUCCCGACGGCGGUGGUGGUGUUGGAGACGGCGGCGGCGGAGAUGUAGGCUGUGCUGUCGAGGAGGACCGAGCUUGGGCUGUCCUUCUCCGUUGGUAGGGAAGGAGAUAACGAAAUAUGGAGGUGGACGACCUCGGCAAGGAUGCGAUCCGAUCUGACCGGAGGCGGCGGGGUGUCGAGCAAGAAGGAAGGAAGGAAGAAAGGGGAAUCGGAAUUCCUAUCCAUCACUCAAGCGUCGGAGGUGGCUGCUGCGCUUCAUGCAGAGGAAUUGCUUGAGAUAGUAGGGGAAUUGUUUUUUCUUCUCGACACACCAUCGCCACUAAUUCACCCGCAUAAUAUGAUUUUGUUGUUUCUUCCCUUUUGAACCUGUAGAUCAAACAUAUGGUGUCAAAUAUCAACACAAAGCUUACUACCAGUGGAACCAAUGUUGCAAAAAGCGCUAGGCGCUAGACAAGUGUUAAGUGGUUAACCUUUGCCAAGCUCCUAGGCGAUUGUACUUUUUUUUCCAACAGUUGGAGAUUUAAUGGCUUAAUAAUGGCAUUUUAAAACAUGACUUGAUCAGGCAUCUAGUUCAUCUCUAAUUUGCUGCAGUACUAAAUUAUUUUAGCCGAAAACCAACUCACUUUCUAAGGAAGUCGAGGAAUUCAUCUGCUGUUUUCUUAUCAUUAUCCUCAAUAUUCGUCUUGCUCACCAUUGCAGCGAAACUCGCCUUUGGAGGUGAAGGCCUAUCAUAGAAAACCACAUUGUCAACUGUCAUUAAAAAACAAGCAUCGAGAGAGUAGAUGAAACCAUUUUGAACAUGCUUACACAUCAGUGGUGUCCUGAUCAGGCGCGUCGCCAUGUUCGGAAGAUUGGGACACGUUUGAUGAUGAUGCUUCAAGGCUGUCCUUCUGCGCUUCAUGUAGAGGAAUUGCUUGAGAUAGUAGGGCCUCAAGGCGCUCCUUGGCAAGCGAAAUCCUCCACUCCUGUUCUGCGGCACUUGUGUCAAGGCCUUCACGCUCCGGCACCUCGUGGAUCGCAGGGAAGAGCGAUAGCGAGGGCACGCUUGCAUUCACUCCCAGCCAGAUCAAAGUUUCCCAUGUCAUUGUGCACCGUAGCGAGGGAAAAGGCCACCUCGAGACAGUUGGGUUGCAAUCUGGCGGCAUGACUGAAAUGGUCCAGUGCUCGGCCCGCUUCAUUAGCAUAUGAUUGCACGCGGCCGGCGACUUGGCUGGCUAGAGGUGAUUUUGGAUUCUUGGUGGCAAACUUGUCGGCGUUGCGGCCCGCCCUUGCCCUUUCCUUGCUAUCCUCCCUGUCAAAGCGAAGCAAGGCUCUUGCAGCUGCGGCGGCGGCGGGGGCGGCUGCGGCGGUGACUGACUUGCAUGCACGAACGAAUGUUUAUUUGUGAGGUAAGCUGAAUUCAAGGAGGAUCACACGGCACUGUGUGAGAAAAGAACCGGUCACGUCGGGGCCGGGCGGCGAAUGAGGAGCCGGCGGGAUCGCCGCGGGCAGGACGGCCAUCAAGACCACCCGAGCGAGAGCCUUAACUCCACUACGCACGCUGAUGCAGCCACUGCUGCCAGAACGCCCCAGGCUACGUAGGUAGAGUACUAGAGUACGCUACGCUGCCGUCGACGAAAAUAGUUGGUCAGCUUACCUCACAAAAAUACCCAAAAAUGUAGCAAAAAAAGAUUCAGUGCUAAGGUUCAAACUCAGGCCUUUGGGAUAAAAGGCACACAUCCUAACCAGCUAAACCGUAAUGUGGUUGUUGCAUGCCCCUCGGAAUAAAUAUACUUGUUUCAUUUUAAAUGUCAAGAGCCAUAGGAUAAUAGCUCGGCGCCAAGCUUGGUGCCAUCCAUCCUGGCGCCAAGCGGGCUGCCAUGUCAGCGUCCAUGUCGCCAACGGCGCUACGACCUAGGCGCUAAACCCCCUGGCACCAAGACGUGUAAGUUUGACGCCACCAAUGAUGGCGCCGAGCUAAGGGUCCAGAUUUUGAAAUGAUACCUCCAGGGGCCUAUUUGUGAGAAUCUUUCAAAAAAAAGCUAAAAAAUAAAAAAGACAGUUCUGUACCCUGGGUACUGAAUAGCGGAGGCGCGUGUGUGUCUAUAUAUAUAUAUAUAGCAUUGAGGAACCGAUUUACGAUAAUUGUGAUUACUAUAAAUAAACAUCUAGCAAUGAUAAUGUCACAGGUCAUUUACCACAAGCAAGCAAAAUGAUGCUUGAAGACACGAUUUAGCAAUGCAAAAUGGUAGAAUCUUACAUAAUUCAACAGUCUAUGGACGAUAGUUAUGAAGUGAUUUACUACAAUCAGGACAGCGGCUAUUUACCAUAAUUAAACGUCUAGUACCCAAACUGUGGCAGGUGAUUUAUCAAGUGCGAAGGAUUCAGGAUAAUGAGAGGCUUGAUUUGACAACACAAAUUGAUAUGCAGACACCGUAAUUGUAUUGGUGUGACUGAAAACAAUAAACAUUGCCUUCAAAAAAUGUGUUGGGUACAGACUGAUUUGUUGCACAGAACACUCAUCCUUUUAUCUCUGGGAGUAAUGAGUAAAACACAACGAAAAUGAUGGCAACUAAGAUACUCUCAUAUUAAUUUGACUAUGACCAUCAGCAUAGAAUUCCAUGAAAUCGACAUCAUGCGGCGAUGGAGUACGUACCAGCGAGCAGGCCGCGGAAGAGCUUGCCGACGGCGGCGGAGAGCUCGGUGUAGCCGCCGUACGCCGUGAGGUCCACCUUCUGCCCGAUGGGCACUCCGUCCAUGUUGAUCUUCACGAACAGGCCGCCGCCCUUGUGCGGUUGUGCUCUCCCUCGCCGGCGCCGCCUCCCUUGGCGCCGCGGCCUCCCUUAACUCCGCCGUCCUGAUGAUAAGCCGACGACGACUGCGGCGACUGCCUGGUGGACGCCAGGUUCCUCCUGAACGACCGCACCAGCGGCCACCCCACCACCGGGCGGAGGGGCCGGCGGGGCCUGCCGCCGCUCACCAUCUCCCGAGGCGGCAGGAUGGGGCGGGAGGGCGGAGGUGGGCCAGGCCGGCGGGCCCGACUCCGAUCGGUAGGGGCCCGCCAGCAUAGACCCCUUCUAGCCUAAAACAUCAAGCUUGCAAUCCUUGUCCUUGUGCCAAUCCUUCCAUGACGUAACUGGAACUGGCAUGGUCCAGAUGGUGGCAUUCCAGUAUGGGGCGACGUACAAAUCACACUCAGCACCAUCAUCAGAGCCGGAGUCAUCGGAGGUGUCCACCGACUGCCGGGAUGGCGGCAUAUCCUUCCCAGGUCUAGUUUCCAUCUCAUGUACUUUUUUGAAGAAACUUCCAUCUCAUGUACUUGAUCUCGGUUUGCUGCUGCUACCCUGGUAGUGUGACGACAACGAUCUCCCUGUAACGGUGCGGUCCUCCUCUGCAGAAGGAGCGCCUAUUGGCUCUUGACGGCUUGGGCAGCGGCACAUCACGGAGCACGGGUUCCUCAUCGAGCACGUCGCAGUGCAGGAUGCCUCUCCAGAGAUCGACCCAGCCAAUGGUAACCCUUGGGCCUCCGAGCGUGAUGACCUUGGUGGUCUCGUGGAAGAGCAGCUCGGUGGCCGUGAGGGGGAUUGGUAGCACCUCGUCCCUCACCGGCGCGUGGACGGAAAGCAGGGUGGAGGUCCAGCUGCCGGUGUCGGAGUCGUAGCGCUGGAGCCUGAACUUGCUGGUGCGGACGGUGUUCCUGAGGCCAGCUAUGACGUAGUGGGAGGUGCCAGAGCAGCGGAAGAUAGCGACCUCGUUGUCCUGGAAGACGGCGCCCUUGGGGUGCGGGUGCGGGAGGCGGUUGAAUGAGGAGGCGCCCGGGGAUUGGUAGACGAAGUAGUCAUGGUGUCGGUGAUUGGUGACGAGAUCCAGGGCGCCCAGGAGCGGCACGCGGAGGAGAGCUAGGUUGGCGUGCGUGCUGAUGACUUCAGGGGCCUCCUUGAUGCACCGGACGGCAGGGGUGUCGGCGGGGAUGUCGGCCGGCGGGGCCUGGGAAGUGGGCGCACAUGUAGGAGAGGCGCGGGGGUCGGGCGAGGCAAAAGGAGAUGUGGAUGGGUGCGCCGGUACUCAUCUCCCCGACGGCGGUGGUGGCGUUGGAGAUGGCGGCGGCGGAGAUGUAGGCUGUGGUGUCGAGAAGGACGGAGCUUGGGCUUAGGCCGUUGUCCUCCUCGUUGGUAGGGAAGGAGGAACCAAGCAGGGGACGUAAUCGUCAUGGAGGUGGAUGGUCUCGGCAAGGAUUUCGAUCUGAUCUUAACAAGGAAGCAAGGAAGGGGAACAUGAAGGAAGGGACCGCUGCAUGGACUUGCAUUGCAUCUCGAAAAAAAAAAGAACAAAGCUUGCAACUGGCGCCAGGGCAUGCCGGUUACAGCUGCUAGGUCACCUUCACAGUGGUGAUGAACUUCACCUGACGAUUCCUUUGUUGAAGACGAAGGUCACAGCUUUGUCACCUGACGAUUCCUUUGUUCAAGCCACUGUUAAUUAUUAAUUACUGAUGCUUGAUGCUCUAGAUCUUACUAACGCUAGAAGAAUCCGGAUUGUCCUGGGACUUCUGGAGAAGACGUUCCUAAAGCUCUGCUGCACUGAACCUCAGGCCUGUUUUUCAUUUCCAUUUUUUUGCCACCCCAAAUCAACUUACUGUUAGUGCACUCUUUUCUUGGGAUCCUUGCAAGCAUAGUAAUCAAUUGCACUCAGUGCACUCUUUUCUUGGGAUCCUUGCUAGUUGCCAUAUAAUCCUUGCCGAUAGCACGGGUCAUGGCCGCUGGCCGGUCACACAUGGAUCCAACAGAUCCAUUUAGUGAGCCAGUGGACGAGGUGUCGGGAGCAUGCAAAACAGUAGCAGUUUGCUGGCCAAUGUUCUCGGACGGCAAAGGAAAGGUAUAAUAACAGUUACAAAUACGCCAGAACCAAAUACCUGGUAACUGGUAAAAUAACAGAUUCCCUGCAUAAUGUUACUGUCCUACAGGGAGGUGACCCAAAUGAACUACGGGACCUAUGUAAUCCAGGAUUCCAGGUCACGAACCUCCUCGCCGCGCAGCUCCAGCAGCAGUUGCACCCCUCAAAUUUGCUCUUGAAAAGCAAGCUCCUGAAUUGCCCCAAAAACCACAUCCCAUAUCUCUUCACCAGCUUCAUCAUAAGACCACACUUAACGCCUCUGUCUACUGAACCUGGUUCUUCUUUCAAGUCUCCCUGCCUCACCUGCAUCAAGAACAAAACAUUGUGGAUUUACUUUCUUCCCUAACAAGGUUAAACUAUACUCAUUUGUUUUUUUUUGUUUUCCAGUUGACCAUUUGUAAACGGAGUUCAAGCAAGAAAUUACUUUGGGACAGUUGAGUCCCUGCUGCUAAAUGUUAUAAAUACCCCCAUGGAGCCAACUACAGAACCGCAUUAAAUUUUUGCCAACAAAGACCAUAUUAUCAGAGCAGGGGCAAACAAAAAAUAAAACAAAAGAGGUUUUUAAGCUGGGUCAAAGAGACAAGUGAAUGUGACAACAAUUCCUAGCGCUGAAACACUAAAGCAUUAUGCUCCAGAACUGAAACAUGAACACGAUAGCCAUGGCCUUUUCUGAUUGGUUGCUCCAUGAUGCUGAUCCACCAACUUGCAAGAUAGUUGAUGCCAGUCCAUUGUGCCACAGGAUGCCAAGUCUGAGCCUCCUGCAAAGGGAGCAGGUUGGCGAGUGCAGCCAGAGCAACACUGUCCCAGAGUCUGGUCUAUUCUGAUAGACUGAUCAAACAAAGAAUUUGCACUUCCAGGCCUUCUAGACAAACUUGUCAUGUCUAAGAAGCAUGGUCCUAGGAACUGGGAGUUGUAAACCGACCUGGCAGCCCGGAGUAUUAAACUUGUUCAUGCAUGCCUUGUGAUUGACUACACAUGUUUAGUUACUUUAUUUUUGAACAAAAGAAAGUAUAUCAUACAGCCAACCAGAUGACAUUUGUAAGAUCAUAAGACAGUCGCAUGCAUGCUCAGCUACGAAUUGCGAAUAUAAGUAGAUGAAGAUAGUAUAGUUAGUUCGGUAGCCUUGGUCAGAUAUUUGGAGAUGUCGGUGGAACGGUAGUAGCGUCUUAAGGAGAAGUUUUUCCUGUCAUCAAGCUUGGCUAUGCCUUGCAGCUUGCUGUUGGUGCCAACAGCAAUCACCCAUCCCUCACGGGCCCUGUAAUCCACCUUGGAAAGCAAAUAAACAACCACAUCACCAUUCAUGCCAAGCCCCAAGGUGGGAUGAGCAGUGAGCAGUCUACUGAAGGUCACGGACACCUCCUCUGGAUCAACGGUCAGCCUUGGCAGCAGCUCACGAUGCAUUGGGUUGUCAAUGGCAAUGCUGGCCGCAUCAAUUGUGCAAUCCUUGUGCCAAUCCUUCCAUGAAGCAAUUGGCACAGGCAUAGUCCAGACGGUGGCUGUCCAGUAGUCAUCAACAUCAUCAUCAUCGGAGCUAGAGCUGGAGCGAUCCACCUGCUGUCCUCGAGAUGAUGGGACAUCGCCAGGACGAGUUCCCAUCUCGACAUACUUGAUGCUCAUCUGCGAUUGCUCUGGGAGUGUGACGACAGUGAUGUCCCAAUGCCAAUACGGGUCUCCCUUGCAGAAGGAGCCCCUGUUGCACCUAGCAGGCUUGGGCAGCGGCAUGUCACGGAGCACGGGCUUUUCAUCGAGCACGUCACAGAAGAGGAUGCCCCUCCAGAGAUCCACGCCCAGCCGACGGUGGUGGAUUCGAGCACGAUGACCUUGGUGUUCUCGUGGAAGAGCACCUCGGUGGCCGAGUCCGGGAUGGGGAGCACCCUGUCCCUCUCCGGCGCCUCAACGGGGGGCAACGGCUUGGAGGUCCAGCCUCGCGUGUCGGAGUCGUAGAGCUGGAGGCUCCACUCCAUGUGGCCGAGGAUGUUCCUGAGGACGGUGAUGACGUAGCGGGAGCCGCCGGGGCAGCGCAUGAUGGCGGCAUCCUGGUCCCGGAAGCGACGGAAGCCGGUGACUUCGGGAGGAGGUCGAGGGAGGAGGCGCCCGGGCGCGGACGGGCCGCGUAGACGAAGUAGUCGAAGUUGCAGUGCUUGUUGACGCGCAGCGAGCCCGGGAUGGAGACGCGGAGGAGGGCUAGGUUGGCGUGCGUGCUGAUGACGAGCGGGGGAUCCCAGACGCACCGGACGGCGGGGUCCAGACGGUGCCGACGUCGGGGCCUGGGAAGUGGACGCAGAUGUAGGAGAGGCGCGCGGGGGGGGGGUUGGGGUUGUGGUGAGCGCCGGUGCUCAUUUGCCCGACGGCGGUGGUGGCGUUGGAGACGGCAUCGGCGGAGAUGUAGGCCGUGUCGUCGAGGAUGACCGAGCUGGGACUCAGAUGGCCGCCAACUUCGGUUGGGAGGAGCGGCGGAUCCAAGCAGGGGACGUAUUCAUCCAUGGCGACGCGGCGCAAUCCGAUCAGAUCUCACCGGGGAAGACGUACGGCGAGGGUGAGCAGGCAGUGCAUACCGGCCGUCGAAACAAGUGACACAUGCAACUCAUAACACCCCUCAAUUAUCAUGAUGAACUGGUCAUGCCAUCUUAUUCUCAUUUGUAUGUAAAUACACAAGUGCACAUCUCCUCCAUGCAUGUAGAUGGAACUCUACAUGAUCAUAUCGAUUUUCAUGGCUGCAAUGUAAGUAGCCUUAUUGUUGGCAACAAGCAGUGCACAAUUCUGGUGCAUGCAUUCGGGGAAGCAGGUUUGUGUGGUGGAUAGUAUUACACGUAGGCAGUGUUCGAGUAGACGGAGUCGUCGUGGUUGGGCAUGUGGUAGCGGUUGGUGAACCAGGUGGUGUCCGCGGUGACCUUGUUGCCGUCGUGGUUGCGGUACCAGGCGUAGUGUGCGUGCGUGUGGUUCUUGAUGUCCAGCACGGCGUGGCCGUAGCUGUACUCCCGGAACGCCGAGUAGGCCGGCUGCGGCCAGGUGAGCUCGUCGGCGAGGCCCUCGAUGUUGCCGCCGUCGCCGAUGACGAUGUAUACUGGGGCGCGGCGGUCGGCGACGGGCGUGCACUUGCCGUCGGUGAUGUUGUACUUGAUGUUGGAGUACCGGUGGCUGCGCUCGUAGGCGUGGACGUGGCCGGCGAAGACGAUGUCGACGCGGGCGUCGACGGCCAUCUGCUCGAACUGCACGCGCGUCGGCUCGCCCUCCAUGAAGUGGAAGUUGUUGCUGUUGUACCAGGGCACGUGCGCGCUGAUGAAGAGCCACGGCGUGGUCUCCCGGUCCACGCGCUUCAGCUCCUGCUCCAGCCACUUCCACUGCGGCGUGUACUUGCCGAAGGCCGAGUAGGAGGAGAGCACGAUGAUGUGCGCGGGCCCCAUCUUCACCGAGUACCAGUACGGCUCCGACGAGUCGCUGGCGCGGUACGGCGUCGGGUAGCGGUGGGAGAAGGGCUUGAACGCGACCGUCUCCCCGAUCUCCGGCGCGUAGUCGAUCUCGUGGUUGCCGGCGGUCCAGAUCCAGGGCUGGUACGCGACGCUGCGCUCGGAGAAGCGGCCCCAGGUGUCCCAGCGGUUGUUGUCGUGGAGCGGGUGCUUGUCGGCGUAGGAGAGGUCGCCGACGAAGAGCACGGCGUCGCCGGGGUGCUGCUCGUAGUGGGUGAGCGUGCUGUUGGAGUCGGGCGUCUGGCCGAGGUCGCCGAUGAGACCCAGCCGGAGCGGCGCGCCAGGGCCGGGCGGGGGCGGCGUGGUGAACCAGAAGGUGCGCACCGUGUCGCCGAACCCCAUGGCGUAGUAGUACCGGGUGCCGUGGUCCAGGCCGGUGAGCGUGCAGUGGUGGAUGAAGCCGGAGGUGUAGUUGUAGAAGGUGUAGCGGGUGGUGGUGCCCUCGGCGGCGAGGUCGAGCCUGUCCGCGGCGCGGCCGUACAGGACGGUGCUGUUGCCCUCGGCCUCCACGGUGACCCAGGACACGAGCAUGGCCGUGCCGGUCUGGUCCCCGAGCGUGAUGUGCACCUGUUGCGGCGCGUUGCGGCCCGGCGGCACCGCGAACACGUCCGCGUCCAUCGGCAUGUCGUCGGAGGCCUGGUGCUUCCGCCGGUACGUGCUCGUCACACAGCGACGAGGGUGCGCCGCCUCGCCGACGGAGAAGAGCGCGGCGGCGAGUACUACUACUACUACUACUACCAGCGCCGCCGCAGCGGCGGGCUUCCUUUCCAUGGCGGCCACGCACUAACUGCUACUACUACUACUCGCUGGCUGGCUGCAUGCUAGCUACUGCACUAGUGCUGGCUUUAAGUAGCUAGAGCGGAGGAAGGCAUCAGCAUUCACCAACACAAGCAGCUAGUACAGGCAGGAGAGGGGCAGUAGGAGGCGUGUGGUUGCCUGCGUACCAGACGACGUGGAUCAUCCGCUACCAUGCGCAUCAAGUCGUUUGGAGCCCUGUUCAUGGUGAUUGGCUUCUUGCUAGCUUCCCGUUCAGGUUGAAAUGCAAUUAUCGGUGAUGAUGGUGCAGGUCCUCCGCUGGAGUCAUUUCAUUGGAAGAGAAAAUUAUGCUGCCUCCGAUCCAUCGAUGCAUUCAUUUUUUGAGCUAGCUGGCGCGCCAUCCGUAGCCCCGGCCGAUACGAUAGGUAUAGCUAAUCUCUUCUUGUUCGUACACAAUAUUGUCACGUGGAUAAAAAGUCGGAGUCAGUGCUGCGUCGUCGCUGCCAGGGUGACAGAGAUCUCUCGGCUAGGCUACAUACGUUCUUGGCUCAGCUCUCGUCCUCAUAUCGACCUUUGGCAUCUCUGCGUUUGCACACCCUCGUCCUCAUCGACCUUUGGCAUCUCUGCGUUUGCACACUGUGGACCAGCUGCAGACGACGACAGAUAUGAUGCAAAUCGAGCAGCCUGUGGGUAGUACAUACGUUGGAGGCGGCGGCACAGGAGGUGUCGGCUGUUCCCUACGUCGAGGAGGACCCCGCCAUCCUCGGCUGGGAGGGAGCAAACAGGGGACGAAGGAUUCGGACGACGGCGGCGAUCCACCGGAGAUGAUGGCGUCAAUUCAUCAGUUGCUACGCCGGUGCGGCAUGUUCUGCAGUUUGCGAGUCCUGCGCGCACUGCACUACGCCUGAGCAAAUCUUGUUUGGGCCACGAAUUAUUCGGCCCAGCAUCUAUUAUGCGGCCGAGUUGCCUUCUUCCCUCCCCCUCAGCUUGUCUAUGGGCUGCGGCUUAGGCAGUGUGCGUUACUGUAGCGCGUGCCGGAGCUUAAGUCGGGUAAGUCAAUUUUUUCAGCUCCAUGGGCUUCCCUCGUUUUAGUUUAUUUUUGAACUCAUUUUGUAUUCCGGCUUCACACUGCAGUAGAAAAUAGUGCCGCAUAAUGCCCGACUACUGUAGCGAGAAGCCAAAACUGAAACCGGCUAAACCGUGCGGCCUUCGAAGCCCAUCCCCCACAGGCCCAAUGGGAACCACAUGGCUUGUCGUUUGCGAUAGCAACAUCACCAGCAGCGCCAUAAGACAAGACGUUUUUGGAUGGAUGGAUACCACCCACACCACCAUUCGAGCAGUGGAACCUCACCACCACAAUUGAGCAAGCCUCAUACGGUUUGGAUAUUGAGCAAGCCUCUCGCUACGCCGACGAGUACUCUCCACCAGCGUCGCUGGCUUGCCGUUCUUCGAUCAACAGCAUGAUCUAGCAAAUAGUGCAUGAGUUAUGAGCGUCAUCGAUCUCAUUGUUGCGAGUCUCGCUGAGAGGAUGAGCAUCGUCGAGCCUCGGCACGAGUUCUUUACUCGUUAACGAAAAGUGACGCCGGGAGGCUAUUCCUUGCCCCGUUUACACGGGAGCAAUGCAAGCCUAGUCCAUAUGCUAUUAUACCAGCGAGGCUAGACGGGUUUCAUCGAGAUUUGAGGCAAUAGACGGUUCCAAAAAUUGCCAUCUCAAAAAUAAAAUGAGAUCUUUGGUUAGAUUAGUCCUUUAUCACAUUAAAUAUUUAGAUACUAAUUAGGAGUAUUAAAUAUGGACUAAUUAUAAACGCAAUUGCACACAUAAAGGCUAAUUCGCGAGACAAAUCUAUUAAGCCUAAUUAAUUCAUGAUUAGCACAUACUUAUUGUAGCAUCACAUUGUCAAAUUAUGGACUAAUUAGACUUAAUAGAUUCGUCUCGCGAAUUAGUCUCCAUCUGUGCAAUUGGUUUUAUAAUUAGCCUAAUUAAUAUCUAAACACUCUCGAUAUAACAGAGACUAAACUUUAAUCCGUGUAAUCAAACAAUAACCGGAGAACAACUACAAAUAAGAUUCUGAAUAUGAAGUCAGGAGAUGGUGCUUUUCCCGACGUCGUGGCACGAUAAUCCAGAUUGGAUUGGGCGUGUCUCGAUUGGAUGACCAUCUCCUAGUCCUCCUAACAGCACAGUAGUAGCACACUUGCUAUUGCCACUCUGCCAGCACAAAUCCCUCUAGUUCAAGACCGCAUAGCCGUCGGUGUCACCACUUUACGAGAGUCCACUUGAUCGAUAUAUAGCUCAAGAGUGCUGCACUCAAUUAGCUCCGCCAUGCAGCCACUAAGGUUUCCAAAAUAAUUAUGGUUUCUUAUUUACUUUUGAAAUGUUUAAUCAUCGGAUAAUAUAAGAGCUUGAAAUCUUCUUGUCUGCCCUUAAAGAAGAUGGCAAAUCUGAUAUGAUGCUAAUGAACUGAAUGCCGAUUUUUGAUUUCUUCAAGAUUUCAUUCGAAGUUUGGCCCUUGCACGUCUGCAUUGAAUUGGCUAGCUUUCGUCCAAACACUUUUAUUGCCGAGCAGCCUGACCAACCUUAGCAGUUACUUGCCGCCAGCCUACCACUCCCGCCCAAGGAAAGCCUUCAUCAUCACCAUACACACGCCUCCAAAGGAAUCCUAGAAGCAGAGCCACUCCACUCCACCGAUGGCGACCGCCGCGGCGGCGUUCGCGUCGCAGGUGCUGCGCGGGCGGUGGUUCAUGGCGUACGGCUCCUUCCUCAUCAUGUCCGCGGCCGGCGCCACCUACAUCUUCGCCAUCUACUCCAAGGACAUCAAGUCCACGCUGGGCUACACCCAGGAGCAGCUCAACACCGUCGGCUUCUUCAAGGACGUCGGCGCCAACAUCGGCAUCCACGCCGGCCUCGUCGCCGAGGUAACCCCGCCCUGGCUCGUCCUCGCCGUCGGCGCCGCCAUGAACCUCGGCGGCUACCUCAUGCUCUACCUCUCCGUCGCCGGCCGCGUCCGCCCCGCGCCGCCGCUCUGGCUCGUCUGCCUCUACAUCGCCGUCGGGGCGAAUUCGCAGGCGUUCGCCAACACCGGCGCGCUCGUCACCUGCGUCAAGAACUUCCCCGAGAGCCGCGGCGUCAUGCUUGGUCUCCUCAAGGGGUUUGUCGGGCUCAGCGGCGCCAUCUUCACCCAGCUCUACCUCGCCUUCUACGGCCCCGGCGGCGGCGGCGUCGACACCAAGCCGCUCAUCCUGCUCGUCGGCUGGCUCCCGGCCGCCGUCUCCGUCGCCUUCCUCGGCUCCAUCCGGAUCAUACGCGCGCCGCGGUCGCCCGUCGCGGCGCGCCGGGAGUACCGCGCGUUCUGCGGGUUCCUCUACGUGUCGCUCGCGCUCGCGGCGUUCCUCAUGGUCGCCAUCAUCCUGCAGAAGCGGUUCCGGUUCACCCGCGCCGAGUACGGCGUCUGCGCCGCCGUCGUGUUCGUCAUGCUGCUCCUCCCCCUCGGCAUCGUCCUGCGCGAGGAGGCCGCGCUAUUCAAGUACCACAACAUCACGAACGCGCCCCCGGCGCACGCUGACGCGCCGGUUCUGUCCCCGCCGGUGACCGCGGCCACGAAGCAGGGGACGCAAGAAUCCCCCGCGACGACGACGGCGGGUGCGAGAUUUCUGGCCGCGCUGAGGCCGCCGCCGCGCGGCGAGGACUACACGAUCCUGCAGGCGCUGGUGAGCGUGGACAUGCUGCUGCUGUUCACGGCGACGGUGUUCGGCGUCGGCGGGACGCUGACGGCCAUCGACAACAUGGGCCAGAUCGGCGAGUCGCUGGGGUACCCGCAGCGCAGCGUCGCCACCUUCGUCUCCCUCAUCAGCAUCUGGAACUACCUCGGCCGCGUGGCCGCCGGCUUCGCCUCGGAGGCGCUCCUGGCGCACCACCGCGUCCCGCGGCCGCUGCUGGUGGCAGGCGUGCUCCUCCUCGCCGUGCCGGGACACCUCCUCAUCGCGUUCGGCGUGCCGGGGUCGCUGUACGUGGCGUCGGUGAUGAUCGGAUUCUGCUUCGGGGCGGCGUACCCGAUGAUCCUGGCCAUCAUCUCCGAGCUCUUCGGCCUCAAGUACUACUCCACCCUCUACAACGUCGGGAACGUGGCCAGCCCCGUCGGCUCCUAUAUCCUCAACGUCCGCGUCGCCGGCCGCAUGUACGACCGGGAGGCAGCGCGGCAGGGCGCCGUGGCGGCGGUGGCCGGAAAGGGCGUCACGUGCGCCGGCACGCUCUGCUACAGGGAGUCGUUCCUCGUCGUCGCGGCGGUGACCGUAGGCGCGGCGGCGGUCACGCUGGCUCUGGCGUGGAGGACGCGGAAGUUCUACGCUGGGGACAUCUACGCCAGGUUCAAGGAGGGAACCGCGGGCAAGGGCGCCGCCGAGGAGCCGGUGGCGGAGUCCAAGGAGCAGGCGGAGGUGCAUGGGCGCCGGGGAGGCGUUCAGCGAGAAAGCGACUGAUGGAUGCAAAUGUCGGAUCAAAACAAGUUUUUUUUUUGUCCAGAGAGCAGGUAAGAUUGGAAAUUUUUGUUCGUUUUAUGGUGGGUUUUGGAUUGCGAAUUUUGUAUGACCAGGUGAUAGUUAAUCUCUACAACAAUAUCUUCUCUGCAACUAAAAAAAGGGAGAAGAGACAAAAUUUAAAAAGUUUUUUUUUGAAACGAACCUGGCAGGAGAGCUGCCGAUUAUAUUAAAAAGGAGGAAUCCAGACUGGAUAAGUACAAUGGAUCAAAAAUGAAAUGACAUGAGGCAAAAUUGAGCCAGAAGAAUAAAAUAAAAUAAAGCAACACUAUGAACUCAGUCGCAAUCAGCAUCGCACCAUUAGAGCGGAGAGAUGUUUCGCUCCCGCCAUAAUCCACACGGUGGCCUCGUCUUUGAUCCACUCAAAAAUCAUAUUGACAGAAGACUCCUUGCUGUUAAAUAUUCUCAUAUUCCUUUCCCACCAAAUUAUCCAUGUAACUAGCAUAAUCAAAGUUUGCAUGCCUCUCUUGGAGCAGGAAUUUGCUCCUGCUCUCAUCGACCACCAGUGGUGCAGCGUAUCGGCCUGUUGCCAAGCCCUCGGGUGGAUUGCUGGCGCUGAUAAUCAGUCCGCCACCAUGGCCCAGAUUCUUGUUGUAAUCCGGCAUUCGGCGAAAAGGUGUAGCGCCGAUUCUUGUGAUCUCCGACAUAGUGGGCAGGUAGCUGGAUUCGGCCAUCCCCUUUUCUGAAGUCUGUCAGCAGUCCAAAGGCGAUUUUGGAUUGCGAGCCGAAGGUUUUGCAGCUUCUAGGGGCCCAUAUUUUCCAUAUCAAGCCGUCAAAGUUGGUGGAAGCCGAACCAAUGAACUGUGCGGCGUAAGCGGAUUUUGCGGAGUAGUUACCAUCUGCAGUAAGCUUCCAAAUGAUUUCAUCUUGGACACCCGGGCGUAGGGCUACCUGUUGUACGACUUGCCACAGAAGGAUGUAUUCUCGGAAGUGUUGCACCGAGAAACUACUGUGAUGUAUGUUGAUGUCCCGGAUCCAAGUUCGGUUGUGAAGCGCAUCACGUAAACUCCUGUUCUUUCUUUUUGAAAUGGAGAAAAUACUUGGCGCUACGUCCUUUGGCCUUUGGCCUUGAACCCAGGCACUAUUCCAGAAGGAAGUCUUUGCUCCAUCGCCUACGACGAUGCGUGUACAUGCCGCAAAUAAUUUCCUAUCCGUGUUAUUACACGGAACCUCGGAGCCUACCCAAAGCUUAUCUUCUGCUUUCCACUCAUGCCACAGCCACCUGAGCCUUAGUCCUCUUGCAAAGUUGUAGAUGUUUAAAAUACCUACUCCCCCCAAUCUUGUCGGUCGGGCGGACCUUUGCUAAUUCACUUUGCAUUUCCCCCCUGUUAAUGUCGCCGCCCCUGCCCAAAAGAACUUCUUGCGCUUUGCAUCAAUUUCCUUCAUCACCUCUUUGGGGGCCUCCAUUGCCGACAGGAGGUAUACCGCUUGUGAUGUUAAUACUGAUUUCGUGAGUGCUAGGCGUCCCGCCAUAGUCAUGUUCCUAGCAUUCCACGCAGUGAGUUUGCAGGUCGCCUUGUCUAUGACGUAUUGGAAGUGUACUCUCUUGAGCCUUGACGUCGUUAGUGGAAGUCCAAGAUAUCGCACCGGAAAGGAAGACUGUGUGACUGGAAUGUCUCCAAAUAUGUCGUCCAUAUUAAGCCCUUCGCAUCUUAUAGGCACCACACUAGAUUUCUCGAAAUUUGUUCUCAACCCCGACACUUCACCAAAUCUAGUGAGUAGGUCAGCUAAGGCAAUGACAUCCUGCCUAGUCGGGUUUAGGAAAAUAGCCGUGUCGUCGGUGUACAUGGAUGUUCGGAAAUUGAGGGACCUGCCUCGCAGCUUGGAUAUGAAUCCUCUGUCAGUGGCCUGUUCCAGCAAAGCUCGUAGUGGUUCAAUUGCAAUCACAAAAAGUAAAGGAGAUAAAGGAUCUCCUUGCCGUAGGCCUCUGUUAUGCUUGAUGGGGCUGUUUGGGACCCCAUUGAGAAGGAUCCUAGAUGAAGAUGUGUAGAAUAGAGAGGCGAUCCAAUCCCGCCAACGAAUAGGGAAGCCCAAGCGUUGAAGUAAAUCUAGAAUAUAGUCCCAUCGCACCGAAUCAAACGCUUUGGCGAUGUCAAGCUUAAAGAAUAGUGCUGGAAUUCGUUGUCGAUGGUAGCGACGCGCCAUGUUCCUGAGUCAUAAAAUUAUCGUGGAUGCUCCUUUGCUUGAUGAAAGCCGAUUGAGAAUGUGAUACAAUGUUUUUCAUGUGCGGGGCCAGUCGCAUGGCGAGCACCUUUGUAAUAAUCAUGAUGAAUGAGUGUAUCAAACUUAUCGAUCGGAAGUCAGGGACUGCCUCGGCCCCUUCCUUUUUUGGUAACAACACUACGUUGGAUGUGUUGAUUAAUGGCAGGCUCGUGCAAUGCAAGUUAUGAAAAGCGUUGGCUGCGUUUAUGACGUCGCGCUUUAUAAUCUCCCAGCAGGCCUUAUAAAAUGCUCCAGUGAAGCCAUCUGGUCCGGGCGCCUUGUCCGAUGGUAUGUCGAGUAUUGCACGUUUAAUUUCCUCCUCCGUGAAAGGUUCGGCGAGGGAGCUGAGGUCCAGACUGGGGAGAUUUAUGUUGUCCCAGUUAACGUCCUGUGAUCGUUGUCCUGGUGGCCCCAUCAUCGUAGCGAAGUGGUGUUGAAUUAUGUUUGCUUUUCUUCGUGAUUGAAAGCCCAACUGGACCCUUGCUUUAGUCGCUGAAUGUAGUUUUUCUUCUUCCUUCCGUUAACCCUCCGAUGGAAGUAUUUGGUAUUAGCAUCACCUAAUUUGAUGUUCGUAAUGCGUGAUGCUUGUUUCCGUCUGACCCUUUCAACCACCGCCAGGCCGAGGAUUCUUCGCUUAAGUUUUUGUCGCAGGUUCAAUUCAUCCCUGAUGAGGGUUCUAUGUUCUUGUGCCAUAUCCAAUCUAAGGACGACAUCAGACGCCAUGAGAAGCUGCAUCUUGGCAUCCGGGUAAAAGUUGUGGCUCCAGGCUCUAAGCAUUUGGGAAGUAUCCCGUAACUUGUAGUACAGGCGGUGAAAAGGCUCGUGAUGAGCGCAGGGCUUACUCCAAGCUUCAGUUACUACCUCCUUGAAGCGUGGCAAUCUUGGCCAAAACUCUUCGAACCGGAAUGUCUUUGGCCGUCGUGGUCCACUUUGAUUGGAGAGGAGUAGUGGGCAGUGAUCCGAGUGCGAUGUUGAAAGUGCAUGUAGAGUAUGGGAGGCAAAUAAGGCGUCACCUUCCGUAUUACAGAACACUCGGUCGAGUCGGACAAGCGUCGGAUUUUGUUGCUCAUUGCUCCAUGUGAAGCGGCGGUUCUGCAGUGGAAUUUCCUUGAGCUCACAAUCGCUGAUCGCCUCUCUAAAUAGACUCAUCAGUCUAGUAUUUAGCCUAGAAUUGUUCUUAUCCGCGGCUCUAUAUAUGAGAUUAAAAUCACCCAUUAUAAUCCACGAUGUCCCACUGGGAGGCUUAAGUGUUAGCAUUUCUUGUAAGAAGGCUCUCUUUUGCUCCUGACUGGAUGGUCCGUAGAUAUUUGACAGUCUGAAUGUUUCGCCAUCAUGUAGUGAAAUAGAGGCUGAUAAAUGAAACAUCCCCACAGCAAUCUGUGAGACCUGCACUACCCUCUCAUCCCACAAUAUCAGCAGUCCUCCUCUUGUACCUGAAGCUCCUGUGGCCGGCGCGAAAGCGUUUUUGUUUAACCAGUACCCACCUAAGUAAGACGAAGUGAAGUCAUCUAUCUGUGCAAGCUUGGUUUCCUGGAAGCAUGCAAUGGCGCACGUUGUGUUGGCCACAAUCUGGUGAACUACAUCCCUACGGGCUUGCUGAUUAAGACCCCGUACAUUCCAACAUAAUAUAUCAACGUCGGGGCCGAUCAUUUGAAAUAGCACGUCGCGUCUCAGUGCUCUUCAGGCCGAGGCAUUCUAACCCCUGCUGACGGCCGAAGGACGUACAAAGGGUGUCACAGAGCAACGAAGAUGAUUUGCAAGAUGUCAGAUGCCACAUGUUUUGCAGCUUACAAUUACAACCAUAGUGAAUAAGUCUUGCAACAUAUUGAAAGCAUACAAGAAGUCUUGCAACACACAGCCGCCAUCUUGUCAUGGACACACAAAGGGUAGCACACAGGGACGUUAUCAACAUCCUCAUGGUCGCACACAAAAGUACUGGGAGAGGAGACAGAAACAUGUAAAAUGUAGAGUGCAGCAGGGUGGCCAUCCUGAUUAAGCCACAGGAACCGUGGA